rnacentral:rRNA from 1 species
UAGGGAAUAUUAGAAAUGGACGAAAGUCUGAUCUAGCAACACCGCGUGUGCGAAGAAGGCCUUCGGGUUGUAAAGCACUUUUUGGAAGGAUUAGGAAGGAAUGUACUUCCAGAAUAAGUCUCGGCUAACUACGUGCCAGCAGCCGCGGUAACACGUAGGAGGCAAACGUUAUCCGGAUUUACUGGGCGUAAAGCGCGUGUAGGUGGUUCUGUAAGUAGGGCGUGAAAGCUCCUGGCUCAACUGGGAGAGGCCGUUCUAAACUGCAGAGCUAGAGGAUGGUAGAGGGAGGUGGAAUUCCGGGUGUAGGAGUGAAAUCCGUAGAUAUCAGGAGGAACACCGGUGGCGAAGGCGGCUGCCUGGACCGAUAUUGACGCUGAGACGCGAAAGCGUGGGUAGCAAACA